AUUGCAGUCGGCCGCGCUUGAUGGAGAAGAAUACAAAAAUCUCUGUUAUUCUAACGAAAAUCUCCGCUUUAUCUGUUCCAGGUACGUAAAAAGGCGCAGGUCAUAAUACCCGAUGCGGCGUUCUCGUGAGUCACUCUAAACGAUCAGAAGUCAACGUACGUACAGAGGCAAUUACCAAUGGCUGUUUACAUCGCGGUAAGCUGCGUGUACGUCCAGGGAGAUGGCACGUCGACGAGUAGCGCAAGUGUACGUGUGUAUGUGUGUGUGUGUGUGUGCGUGUAACACACGAACAGGUAUGAGAAACCCGUUAAGAGAUGAGAAACGCCGAGAGCGGCGGUUUGCGCGCUCCUAAUAAAGCCGUAAUUCAGCCAUCGAAAUGAGUAUCAUUUGCGCCCGCCGGAAACUACAAAGCUCUCCGGCGAGAAGCGAGCUACGAAAGAUCGCACGACCCGCCUUCGUGAUUUACGAAUCGGGCUACGCGAGAGAGGGCCACUCGUCGUAAUUGCGAAUGCUGGAUAGGUUUAUCUUCUGUAAUAAAGCCGAGCAAGAGAGAGAGGGAACGGCUAUGUGUAUUAAUGCAUUGUGUAGUAUGCCGUGGCUCGUUAUGGCUUGGAGUAUCGAUGACCGAGUUGAUGCUUUGCUCCUUUAAAGGCUCUCCCUGUAUUGACGGCUGCGGAACCCUUUAGAGGCUGCUUCUUUUGGCUUCCGUGUGCGGCUUUUGGAUAAAUUACGAAGUGCAACUAUACGUCCCGUUUCUCUGAAAAUAAUUCAGCUAAAUCAGAUCAU